UUACGAUAUAUCACUCUUUUUGAAUACAAAAAUUUAAGGUUUGAAUUUAGAUAAUCACUAUUAAAAUAUUUGCAAACGAAUAAAUAUUAAAUAGUAACAUUUAAAUGAGUUCGAAAAUGAAAACUAGCGAGAGUAAUUCUAAGAAUAAUAUAUUUAUAUCUGAAAAAUAAGCACGGACAUUAUUCCUGAAUUGUCAAGAGAUUGGUGACGCUUGGUAACAGGAAUAUACGAUUAAAGCACAUUCAGAUUAACCAUUGAUAUUCCAUGAAGGUAUCACCUCAUUCUUAUAAUGAAAUAACUGGGUCCAGAACUGAAGACUACACUCUAAAUUUAAAUUUAUCAGUCCUAAAUUGGAAACUUACAUGCUAUUAGUGGAAAGUUGCUCUUCGAAAGCAAGAAAGGGACCAACAGCUGUGAUGGGAAGAGAGAGGUGUUCGGGAUAAAAAACAACAUCGAGCAAUGCCAGGAGAUGCCCGCCCUCGAAACUCCAACCUUCAAUUUGUGUCCAUGUGUGCGUGUUUUUGUAUCAAUCACCAAAUCUCCAGCAAACAUUCAUAUUAUUUAACAUACUCAAUUUUAAUAA